UUAAAGUUUUAUUCUAGCUAAAAAAUUUAAAAUAUUGAUAAUUCAUAUGCGAGGGUUUUUAAAUAAAAUUUUAAAUAAGUUUUAUAGGUUAGGCAGUGAAUAAUAUUAGUUAUUAAAGUAAUUUAGAGCUAGUAAUUAAUUUUAGUAUUAGCAAAUCUUGUGCCAGCAGUUGCGGUUAUUCAGGAAAUGCAUUUAAAUUUUGUUAUAAAAUAGUUAAAUGUAAUUUUUAAAUGAAAUAAAACUUUGUAAGGUGAAAUUUUAAGGUUUUAUAUAUUUAUAAAAUUUAUAUUGAGGCUAUUAAAUUUUUAUUUAAACUAGGAUUAGAUACCCUAUUAUUUAAAAUGUAAAGUUCAAUAUUAGAUUAUUAAUAGUUAUAUUCUUUAAAAUUAAAGAAUUUGGCGGUAUUUUAGUCCAUUCAGAGGAACCUGUCCUGUAAUUGAUUCUCCACGUUAAUAUUUACUUAAUUUAAAUGUUUGUAUAUCGUCGUAGUUAGAGAAUUUUAAAAGAAGAAAAUUUUCAUGAUUUUAUGAAGAAAACAAAUCAGAUCAAGGUGCAGCUUAUAGUUAAGAAGAGAUGGGUUACAAUAAAUUUAUUUAAAUGGAAAAAUUAAUUAAAUUAGUUUAGAAGGUGGAUUUGAAAGUAAUAUUUUUUAUUUUUUUAAUAUGAUUUUGGCUCUAAAAUAUGCACAUAUCGCCCGUCGCUUUCAUAAUAGUUGAAAUAAGUCGUAACAAAGUAGGUGUACUGGAAAGUGUACCUAGAAAGA
rnacentral:ncRNA from 1 species